UUGAUUUUUCAGACCAAAAUGGAAUGAAAAUAUAUGAUUAAAACCACCAAAAAGAAUUUUCUUUCUUUGAUUUAUCAGGGACGAUGAAGGGGAGAUGGUCGAAAAGAUUGCCGCUGAUGUUUCCAAGAAACUGAAUCUCACAAUAAUCUCAAGAGAUUUUGAGGGGAUGGUUGGAAUGGAAGCUCACUUGAGAAAUUUAUACUCUUUGUUAUGCCUCGAGUGCAAUGAAGUGAAGAUGAUUGGAGUUUGGGGUCCUGCGGGUAUUGGUAAGACCACCAUUGCUAGAGCUUUAUUCAACAAUCUCUCUAGCGAUUUUCGUCUUACUUGUUUUAUGGGUAACCUCAAGGGCAGUUAUAAUAAGAGGAUAAUAGGUGAUGAUGAUUAUUAUUCCAAGUUGUGUGUCAGAAAUGUCAGAAAUGGGUUGAAGAUCCUAGCGGAUAAAUCUCUCGUGUAUGUUUCUACUGAUGGGAAGAUAGUGAGGCAUUAUCUACUCCAACAAUUUGGUAAUCUGGAAGUUGUAAAACAGUCCAAUGAGCCGGGGAAACGUCAAUUCCUAGUCGAAGCUCAAGAUAUACUGAAUGUACUAGCAAAUGGAACAGGUACUGAAUCUGUCAUAGGCAUAUCUUUUGAUAUGUCCAAGACCAAGGAGUUGUUUAUAAGCCGUACAGCCUUUGAAAGAAUGCAUAAUCUCCAGUUUUUAAGAGUUUACAUGGGUCAUUCCAGUGACAAUGUAAGCUUGUGCAGACUAGAGGGCAUGCAUGGACUACCUACCUCGUCUAGAAGACAUGGAGUUUCUACCUCGUCUGAAGUUAUUACAUUGGAAUUCAUACCCAGGAACAAGUCUUCCUCCAACACGUCGGCCUGAAUUUCUUAUAGAGCUCAACAUGCCAUCAAGCAAAUUCGAGAAGCUAUGGGAAGGAAUCCAGGUUGGCAUCUAUUAUAAUAAAGUAGACUUGUCUAUCACCUCAUGCGUCCACGUCAGCAGGAAGGAGAGGGCAAAUCGUGACACGUCAGCACUCAUUUUCAAGACAAUCCCGUGGUCUGUUUUGGUUUUGAAGCUGGGCUUCGUUUUUGCAGUGUAUGUUAAGAAACCCACCAGUAGAAUAAUUAGGCCCAUCACUUCCUUCAGCUCUGCUCAGACGAUGGGAAGAAACCACCGUGUCUUUUGGUUUUCAUAGGACCAUAUUAUCAAUCUGCCUAACUUCAAAUACUCAUUUUACUCUUUCGUUUUGUCUCUCUUACACUAACUGCACCAUUGAUUUUGGGCUUGCGACACUUAUUUUGUCUUCCUCUUUCUCUUUGCUCCUUGGGAUAUGAACAGUUUUUUGAGGUCUCUUUCGUUUCUCAAUUCUCAGCAACAAACAUGAACUCAUAUGUUUCUGGAACUGAAUCAAAGAUCAAGAACCCUUCGCCAUGCUCUGAUCUUUCUGUUAUGGUGAGUCCUCGAAUCGAAGACAGAUCAAAUGAUGAAACAUGGAUUAUGGAAGGUUUGAUCUAGCAGGGCUUGGUAUGUGUCUUAUGCAAAGUGGGAUGGUUGCUAGGUCUCCAGAAGAUAUCAAAGCAGUCGUAGUAAAAAUUGAUAAGAUGAUCAAAGGAUCGGUUUACCAAGGCGUAAUGAAAUCUAAAUCAGUCGAAGUUACUUGGCAAGUCUUUCUCUUUGCCCUGGGAGAUCAGAGCUACCAUUUCUACAUUCAAAUACACAGCCGUUUGGUGAUUAAGGAAUCACAUUAUUGGUGGAAACACGAUUAGAUGCUUCAAGUCUUCAGACCAGGUUAUGAAUUUUUUUAACUUCUUUAUAUUUUUUGUAGCUUACAAAACUAAUAGGACAAGUAAAAGAGUUGGCUUGCUCAUUAUGUCUAGGCUUAAAUCUAGAUGCAAAACUGGGGAAGUGUUUUAUUGGUUCAGCUUUUAUUUCCUAAGAAACAGAUCGCAGUAAGUAACCAGGUCCGUAAAGCGGGGAAAAUUCUUCACAAGCAUCUAUCAGUUCAAAGAACUUAUCAAUGCAUGAUCAUGUGGUUACACGAAGUGGAAAUGUAAAAGUAGCUUCAAGGAGUCAUCAACUAAACACUUAAACCUAAGCGUAGAGUACAUAUUUUUCAAUAUAAGCCAGUAAUUUUCUUCACAGGAUAAACUUCGAAGUGUUGUCUUAGUGUACUUCUGUAAGCUUAUUAUUCUCAGUUAUUAUGCUGUUUGAACAAAUGGUGCCUUUUUCCAAAUGGUGCCUCUUUUUUCUUUUCAAAUGGUGCCUCUUAGUGAA